rnacentral:rRNA from 1 species
GAAGCGUGUGAGCCAGCUGCCAAGAAAAGCCGCUAUUGCUUCAUAAGUACCCGUACCGUAAACCGACACAGGUGGAUGAGGAGAGAAUCCUAAGGCCGGCGGGAGAAGUGUUGUUAAGGAACUCGGCAAAAUGACUCCGUAACUUCGGGAGAAGGAGUGCCACAGAGAUGUGGCCGCAGAGAAAUGGCCCAAGCAACUGUUUAGCAAAAACACAGGUCUAUGCAAAACCGAAAGGUGAGGUAUAUGGGCUGACGCCUGCCCGGUGCUGGAAGGUUAAGAGGAGAGGUUAGAGCAAUCGAAGCUUUGAAUUUAAGCCCCAGUAAACGGCGGCCGUAACAAUAACGGUCCUAAGGUAGCGAAAUUCCUUGUCGGGUAAGUUCCGACCCGCACGAAAGGCGUAAUGAUUUGGGCACUGUCUCAACAACACACCCGGUGAAAUUGAAAUACCAGUGAAGUUGCUGGUUACCUGCGCCAGGACGGAAAGACCCCAUGGAGCUUUACUCCAGUUUGAUACUGGGAUUCGGUACUGUCUGUACAGGAUAGGUGGGAGGCUAGGAAAUGGUGACGCCAGUUGCCAUGGAGCCAACCUUGGGAUACCACCCUUACAGUACUGGGUUUCUAACCUGCAGCCGUAACCCGGCUGGGGGACAAUGUCUGACGGGGAGUUUGACUGGGGCGGUCGCCUCCGAAAGAGUAUCGGAGGCGCUCAAAGGUUCCCUCAGAACGGUUGGAAACCGUUCGAAGAGUGCAAAGGCAGAAGGGAGCUUGACUGCGACACCGACGGGUGGAGCAGAUACGAAAGUAGGACUUAGUGAUCCGGUGGUAUAAAGUGGGAUUGCCAUCGCUCAACGGAUAAAAGCUACCCUGGGAUAACAGGCUUAUCACUCCCAAGAGUUCACAUCGACGGAGUGGUUUGGCACCUGAUGUCGGCUCAUCGCAUCCUGGAGCUGUAGCAGGUUCCAAGGGUUGGGCUGUUCGCCCAUUAAAGCAGUACGCGAGCUGGGUUCAGAACGUCGUGAGACAGUUCGGUCCCUAUCCGGCGUGGGCGUAGGAUAUUUGAGAGGAGCUGUCCUUAGUACGAGAGGACCGGGAUGGACAAACCUCUGGUGUAUCUGUUGUUUUACCAAAGGCAUGGCAGAGUAGCCAAGUUUGGCAGGGAUAAACGCUGAAGGCAUCUAAGCGUGAAGCCCCCCUCAAGAUAAGAUAUCCCAUCUUCGGAGUAAGACCCCUUGAAGACUACAAGGUUGAUAGGCUUUGUGUGUAAGUGCGGUAACGCACUCAGCUGAGAAGUACUAAUAGGUCGAGGACUUACCAA